UACGUAGGGUGCAGGCGUUGUCCGGAAUUAUUGGGCGUAAAGAGCUUGUAGGCGGUUUGUCGCGUCUGCUGUGAAAUUUCGGGGCUCAACCCCGAACUUGCAGUGGGUACGGGCAGACUAGAGUGUGGUAGGGGAGACUGGAAUUCCUGGUGUAGCGGUGAAAUGCGCAGAUAUCAGGAAGAACACCCGUGGCGAAGGCGGCUCUCUGGGACGGUACUGACGCUGAGACGCGAAAGCGUGGGGAGCGAACAGG
rnacentral:rRNA from 1 species